rnacentral:lncRNA from 1 species
UGUUGGUGGGGNACUUGGUAUCUUCCCUACCUUGGUAUCUUAGUAUCUUCCCUACCUUCGAAUUUCAAGUCUCUGCUAGGCUACGGGCUUCCUCUCCCUCUGAAACCUAUGAUUAUCUUCAGUUGACUUGUAAAUUUCUGGUAGGAUAUUUUUUUGGCAAAAGAAAAAAAUCGUGUUUCCAACAUUUCCAUUAUUUAAAANUUUAGUAUUUAAUAGGAUUGUUCUUAAUUCCUAAUGGCUUCCACUGUUUUCUAUUUAUUUCAUUUAGCAUUUUAAUUAAUAAAAACAAUGAUGUAAGUUACUGGGCCUACAAUUCUGUUAUCAGUAAGUUCAGAGUUGAGGUUCUGCAUANUUUAGUUUUGAUGCUGACUUACUCAGUUCUGGAGCUGUAUUCAUCCUCAGUAAACAGUGUGUGCCAGGAAACCACUGGGGAAACUUCUGCNAAGGGAUCUAAAUGACUUAGUAGGAGAAGUCACUUCUUUACUUUCUCACUUGUUUACAUGUCCUGUGUUUGCAGUAUGACUCUUUUUUAAUAUGGUGUCACCCACUGGACUCAGUGUACUGAUGAUAUUCCUGCUGCUGUCAAAAACUCCCUGACCAAGGCCACUUAUAAAAGAAAGUGUUUAAUCGAGUUUACUGUUNUAGAAGAAAGCACAGAAUANGCUUCACCUUUCCAAAAGGUGGCUCUGCCCGAGCCUGACAAAUACAGGAGGCUCGAAGCCAACCAUUGGACGGUUCUGAUUUUUUAAUACAUGUUCAUGGGCAAAUACUCUCAUACAAACACCCCCUCCCUACUCCAUCCCUACAGAUACUCAUGUACAUUCACCAUACACAUUGAAAGAAUGAAUAAAUAAAUUCACUUCCUGC